rnacentral:rRNA from 1 species
CUGAGACACGGCCCAGACUCCUACGGGGAGGCAGCAGUGGGGAAUUUUUGGACAAUGGGGGAAACCCUGAUCCAGCCAUGCCGCGUGCGGGGAAGAAGGCCUUCGGGUUGUAACGCUUUGUCAGGAGAAAGGCGCAGUUUAAUACAUUGCGACAAUGACGGUACCUGAAGAAUAAGCACCGGCUAACUACGUGCCAGCAGCCGCGGUAAUACGUAGGGUGCGAGCGUUAAUCGGAAUUACUGGGCGUAAAGCGUGCGCAGGCGGUUAUGCAAGACAGAUGUGAAAUCCCCGAGCUCAACUUGGGAACGGCAUUUGUGACUGCAUGGCUUGAGUGGCGGCAGGAGGGGGAUGGAAUUCCGCGUGUAGCAGUGAAAUGCGUAGAUAUGCGGAGGAACACCGAUGGCGAAGGCAAUCCCCUGGGCCUGCACUGACGCUCAUGCACGAAAGCGGU